rnacentral:rRNA from 14 species
GUUCGCCGCCCGCGACUCGGCGAGAAGUCCAUUGAACCUUAUCAUUUAGAGGAAGGAGAAGUCGUAACAAGGUUUCCGUAGGUGAACCUGCGGAAGGAUCAUUG